rnacentral:rRNA from 1 species
AAUGAACGCUGGCGGCAGGCCUAACACAUGCAAGUCGAGCGAGCAUUUCGGUGCUAGCGGCGAACGGGUGAGUAACGCGUGGGAACGUGCCCUUUUCUGCGGAAUAGUCCUGGGAAACUGGGGGUAAUACCGCAUACGCCCUUUUGGGGAAAGAUUUAUCGGAGAAGGAUCGGCCCGCGUUGGAUUAGGUAGUUGGUGGGGUAAUGGCCCACCAAGCCGACGAUCCAUAGCUGGUUUGAGAGGAUGAUCAGCCACACUGGGACUGAGACACGGCCCAGACUCCUACGGGAGGCAGCAGUGGGGAAUCUUAGACAAUGGGGGCAACCCUGAUCUAGCCAUGCCGCGUGAGUGAUGAAGGCCUUAGGGUUGUAAAGCUCUUUCAGCUGGGAAGAUAAUGACGGUACCAGCAGAAGAAGCCCCGGCUAACUCCGUG